UACGUAGGGUGCGAGCGUUGUCCGGAAUUAUUGGGCGUAAAGAGCUCGUAGGCGGUGUGUCACGUCGGCCGUGAAAACCUGCAGCUUAACUGUGGGCGUGCGGUCGAUACGGGCAUCACUGGAGUUCGGCAGGGGAGACUGGAAUUCCUGGUGUAGCGGUGAAAUGCGCAGAUAUCAGGAGGAACACCAGUGGCGAAGGCGGUUACCUGGAGCUUUGCUGACGCUGAUGCGCGAAAGCGUGGGGAGCGAUCCGG
rnacentral:rRNA from 1 species